GCUGGGAAUAUGGCUCAGUGGUAGAGCACUUGCCUAGCGUGUAAGAAGGCCUGGGUUCAAGCCCCAGUCCUAGUCA